rfam:Brachypodium distachyon strain Bd21 chromosome 2, whole genome shotgun sequence.
UUAGUACUCCCUCCGUUCAAUAGAAGAUGUCUCAAAUUUGUUAAAAUUUGGAUGUAUCCAGACAUGACUUAGUGUAUAGAUCCAUUCAAAUUAGUCAAAAUUGAGACAUCCUUUGCUCGACGGAAGAAGUACAAC